AUAAUAAAAAAGCCAAAGGUUAAAGACAAAGAGAGAAUCUUAAAGGUAGGAAGAGCAAAGCAGUUAGUUACCAACAAGUGAGCUCCCA